rnacentral:tRNA from 1 species
GCCGGAGUGGCGGAACUGGCAGACGCGCCGUCUUGAGGGGACGGUGCCCUUCACGGGCGUGCGGGUUCGACUCCCGCCUCCGGCACCA